UACGUAGGGGGCUAGCGUUGUCCGGAAUCAUUGGGCGUAAAGAGCGUGUAGGCGGUCCGGUAAGUCCGCUGUGAAAGUCGGGGGCUCAACCCUCGAAUGCCGGUGGAUACUGUCGGGCUAGAGUGCGGAAGAGGCGAGUGGAAUUCCUGGUGUAGCGGUGAAAUGCGCAGAUAUCAGGAGGAACACCUAUUGCGAAGGCAGCUCGCUGGGACGUAACUGACGCUGAGGCGCGAAAGCCAGGGGAGCAAACGGG
rnacentral:rRNA from 1 species